AUACGGAGGGUCCGAGCGUUAUCCGGAAUCAUUGGGUUUAAAGGGUCCGUAGGCGGGAAUCUAAGUCAGUGGUGAAAUCUUGCAGCUCAACUGUAAAAUUGCCAUUGAUACUGGAUUUCUUGAAUUAGUGUGAAGUGAUUAGAAUGUGUAGUGUAGCGGUGAAAUGCAUAGAUAUUACACAGAAUACCAAUUGCGAAGGCAGAUCACUAACACUAUAUUGACGCUAAGGGACGAAAGCGUGGGUAGCGAACAGGAUUAGAAACCCUAGUAGUCC
rnacentral:rRNA from 1 species